UACAGAGGGGCAAGCGUUGUUCGGAAUUAUUGGGCGUAAAGAGCGCGCAGGCGGCUGGUCAAGUCCGAUGUGAAAUCUCCCGGCUUAACUGGGAAACUGCAUCGGAAACUGAUCGGCUUGAAGGUGGGAGAGGGUAGUGGAAGUUCCCGGUGUAGUGGUGAAAUGCGUAGAUAAUCGGGAGGAACACCAGUGGCGAAGGCGACUACCUGGCCCAUUCUUGACGCUGAGGCGCGAAAGCUAGGGGAGCGAACGGG
rnacentral:rRNA from 1 species